UACAGAGGUCUCAAGCGUUGUUCGGAUUCAUUGGGCGUAAAGGGUGCGUAGGUGGCGGGGCAAGUUGGAUGUGAAAUCCCGGAGCUUAACUCCGGAACUGCAUUCAAUACUGCCUUGCUAGAGUACUGGAGAGGAGAUUGGAAUUUACGGUGUAGCAGUGAAAUGCGUAGAUAUCGUAAGGAAGACCAGUGGCGAAGGCGGAUCUCUGGACAGUUACUGACACUGAGGCACGAAGGCCAGGGGAGCAAACGGG
rnacentral:rRNA from 1 species